CACAAUGAAAAGACUCAACCGAUAAUUUUGUAAAUAAAACAGGAAAUAAGGAUUUUAGGGUACUAAAAGGAGGAUGUCCAAGACGUCUGUGUUGAAGCCAUAUCUGAGAAGAUGACCAAGAUUCAGUGCCUUGCUGAAUACUAGAAGUGGGUGCCUGUAGUUUAGCACAUUUUUUAGUUUCUUCCUGUUGUAAGUAAUAUAACCCGCCCUGCUCUUUAGCAAGUCCAAUUGUCUUCCCCGUGGCAAGAUCCUG
rnacentral:lncRNA from 1 species